GACGAACGCUGGCGGCGUGCUUAACACAUGCAAGUCGAGCGGUAAGGCCCUUUCGGGGGUACACGAGCGGCGAACGGGUGAGUAACACGUGGGUGACCUGCCCUCAGCUCUGGGAUAAGCCUGGGAAACCGGGUCUAAUACUGGAUAUGACUCCAUGACGCAUGUUGUGGGGUGGAAAGCCUUGUGCGGCUGAGGAUGGGCCCGCGGCCUAUCAGCUUGUUGGUGGGGUGANGGCCUACCAAGGCGACGACGGGUAGCCGGCCUGAGAGGGCGACCGGCCACACUGGGACUGAGACACGGCCCAGACUCCUACGGGAGGCAGCAGUAGGGAAUCUUGCGCAAUGGGCGAAAGCCUGACGCAGCGACGCCGCGUGAGGGAUGACGGCCUGGUU
rnacentral:rRNA from 1 species